GACGAACGCUGGCGGCGUGCUUAACACAUGCAAGUCGAACGGUAAGGCCCUUCGGGGUACACGAGUGGCGGACGGGUGAGUAACACGUGGGUGAUCUGCCCUGCACUUCGGGAUAAGCCUGGGAAACUGGGUCUAAUACCGGAUAGGACUCCGGACUGCAUGGUCUGGGGUGGAAAGCUUUUGCGGUGUGGGAUGGGCCCGCGGCCUAUCAGCUUGGUGGUGGGGUGAUGGCCUACCAAGGCGACGACGGGUAGCCGGCCUGAGAGGGUGACCGGCCACACUGGGACUGAGAGACGGCCCAGACUCAUACGGGAGGCAGCAGUGGGGAAUAUUGCACAAUGGGCGCAAGCCUGAUGCAGCGACGCCGCGUGAGGGAUGACGGCCUUCGGGUUGUAAACCUCUUUCAGCAUCGACGAAGCGAAAGUGACGGUAGGUGCAGAAGAAGGACCGGCCAACUACGUGCCAGCCGCCGCCGUAA
rnacentral:rRNA from 1 species